AAGAAGAUGGCGGCCUCUAGAUUAGGUUUAGUGUUGUAUUUUUUUUUUUUAAUUUUGUUUAAUGGUAUAAACCGGUUCAAAUAUUUUGUAAACCUGUUUUAAUAUAUACAUUCUAUGUUUAUCUAUAUUCUACAGUGAUGAGAGGACGAGAUCUUUGUAGAAGCAGUUUUGAGUGAUGAGGUCUGACACGGAGGCCAAGCCGUGGACGUUAAUGGCAGCGUAGAAGCUGGAGAGAGCUUCAGAGUUCAGACACAGAUGUGGGAGCUGUUCGGGACGCAAUGUCGAUGGCUGUCUCCCACCACGCAGCUGCUUUUACAGACGGACUACAGGAUGUGAACUAUUGCCACCGAGUGAUGGUUGUUGGUUUCAAACUAUUGCCAGAAAGGUUUAUUCUUUGGACUGGACACCUGAGAUGAACCAGAUUGUCAGUGCAUCUCAACAAGACACGCUCAGUUAGAAGAGAAAAGUGAUGGAAAAGGGAAAGACACAACCAAAGGGCCAAUUGAUAAAGUGCUGAAAAUGCAAUCGUUUAGAUCUUGAAAAGGAUGUUGUUCUUCAAUGGCUGCCUUGAGUUUACCGUCUCUACCAAAUGUCCUUAUCUCAGACACUUGUGGAGAAGCUUAUGGUCUCUGUCAAAGCUGCAGAGCCUUUUCAACCAGAUAUCUUUCCAUACUUCACAGGCCAGGAAUCUAAAACAGAGACGCACAUAGCUACGAAAUGUUGUCUCUGAGACCCG